rnacentral:rRNA from 1 species
UAAUACGUAGGUGACAAGCGUUGUCCGGAAUUAUUGGGCGUAAAGGGAGCGCAGGCGGUUGGAAUAGUCUGAUGUGAAAGCCCACGGCUUAACCGUGGAAGGUCAUUGGAAACUGUCCAACUUGAAUACAGAAGAGGUAAGUGGAAUUCCAAGUGUAGCGGUGAAAUGCGUAGAUAUUUGGAGGAACACCAGUGGCGAAGGCGACUUACUGGUCUGUAAUUGACGCUGAGGCUCGAAAGCGUGGGUAGCAAACAGG